CUAAAAAACGUUUAUAAAUUAAUACUUCAUCGUCAUAUCAGCCAGAAUACGUCCACAGUCGAACAAAGACAUCGUGCAAUCUAUUAAAAUUCAAAUAAUGAAGAUUUUUCUAUUACUGUUAUUACUGGUCGCCAUGGCAACGGCGGCCACGGGUAAAUUGGUGUUGUGGAAAAAAAUGCCAACAAUAAAAACGCCAAUAUUCUACAGCCUGAAGCCAGCGUCAUCGAUCAAGAAAUAUUACAGCGCAUCAAGAUACGCCUGAAUUUUGUAACUGAACUACAAGAACUACUACCACAAAUGUAAGAUAAGAACAAAUUGAAUAUAUUUUUUAUUUUAAGGUUUAA